GACAUCUCGGCUAUCCUGCUGCUUCCACAAACUUCCUCCAUACCCUGAUGUCUCUCGGCCUUCUAGGUUCUGUCGGCUUGGCUCAUGAGCAGAGCACUUGUCCCUGCCUGUGGCCUCGGAGUAUGUCCUGGCUCCUACCCUGUUCCCUGCUCCCCAUCUGGGAAACGGUCAGUUGGGGUGAGGAGCUGUUACAGCUUUCUGCAGUGUCUCUUCAUCCUGAGAGAGGUGAGGUAUGUCUGUAAUCCGAGUGCUCCUGGGAGCACGGGAGGUGGGACGAGACAACCUCUGGAGGCUGGAGGCCAGCUAGCUGGUGUGUUCAGUAAAGGAAUCCCAUCUCAAAACAAGUUAGAAGAUGAACGUGCACAGACAAAAAGAGGAGAGGGAAAGAAAGGAGGAAAGGGAGACCAGCUGCUUAAUAAAUGUGUAUGGACCCAAGCACGAGAGCAUGAGAAGAGAAUGAAAGGAGGCGACCUUCUCAGAGACAACGUUGCUGAAGGACUUGGGCCUCCUUUCUCUACACAAUGUGGCCUGUACUCGCCAAUCCUCACUGCUGGGACCUGCCAGAAUGGCAGGCAAGCACGCCCUUCCCAACCUGUGUGGGCAGCAAGAAGCAAACAGAAGAGAGAAGAGGAAGC